rnacentral:rRNA from 1 species
UAUAGAUGGACCCGCGCCGUAUUAGCUAGUUGGUAAGGUAACGGCUUACCAAGGCAACGAUACGUAGCCGACCUGAGAGGGUGAUCGGCCACACUGGAACUGAGACACGGUCCAGACUCCUACGGGAGGCAGCAGUAGGGAAUCUUCCGCAAUGGGCGAAAGCCUGACGGAGCAACGCCGCGUGAGUGAUGAAGGCCUUCGGGUCGUAAAACUCUGUUAUUAGGGAAGAACAAAUGUGUAAGUAACUAUGCACGUCUUGACGGUACCUAAUCAGAAAGCCACGGCUAACUACGUGCCAGCAGCCGCGGUAAUACGUAGGUGGCAAGCGUUAUCCGGAAUUAUUGGGCGUAAAGCGCGCGUAGGCGGUUUCUUAAGUCUGAUGUGAAAGCCCACGGCUCAACCGUGGAGGGUCAUUGGAAACUGGGAAACUUGAGUGCAGGAGAGGAAAGUGGAAUUCCAUGUGUAGCGGUGAAAUGCGCAGAGAUAUGGAGGAACACCAGUGGCGAAGGCGACUUUCUGGUCUGCAACUGACGCUGAUGUGCGAAAGCGUGGGGGAUCAACAGGAAUAGAUACCCUGGUAGUCCACGCCGUAAACGAUGAGUGCU